CCAGCAAUUGCGGUUAUACAGGCAAUAUAAUUUAAUUUUCAUGGUUACUAGUUAAUUGAUUUUUAUAGUUUUAGAUAUAGGUUUAUAAGGUGAAAUUUGUAAGUUUAAUGGGAAAAUUGUUUUUUGUUUUUGAGGCUAGGAAAUUCAUUAUUUAGACUAGGAUUAGAUACCCUAUUAUUUUGAAUGUAAAUUUUUAUUCUAGACUACUAUUAGUUAUGUUCUUUAAAAUUAAAGAUUUUGGCGGUAUUUUAGUCCAUUCAGAGGAACCUGCCCUGUAAUCGAUGGUCCACGAGUUAAUGAACUUUUUUUUUUGUUUGCAUAUCGUCGUUGUUUGAAAAUUUUUUUAGAACUUAAAUUUUCAUGAUUCUUUUAGGAAGGAUAUCAGAUCAAGGUGUAGCUUAUAAAGAAGGAGAGAUGGGUUACAAUAAAUUUAUUUGGGAAUUAGAUUUUUGUAAAAAAUUAUGAACUUGGAUUUGAGGGUAAUUUUAAUUAGAUAAUUAGGAUGAUUUGGGCUCUAGAAUAUGCACAUAUUGCCCGUCGCUUU
rnacentral:rRNA from 1 species